rnacentral:lncRNA from 1 species
UCCAAGAAGAAAAGUGAAGAUAAAUUUUUUCUAAUUGUGUGUUAAUUAGUUGUGUUUGGUGAGUUGAGGGAUUGGAAAAGAAAUGGAGCAAGUUGGAGUGAAAUUGGACGCAUUGGCCAAUUUAUCGGAUGAAAAAUCAACUUAGGCCAAUACCGGGUCUAGAUGGCUACCCGUGCAUUUUUCAUUUCAUAUCAUGCAUAUAUAUCGAGCCUGAAAUAGCUUAUGAUUGUUAGACACAAUUUAAUUGGAAUAUGUGUCAUGGAUUAUGGCUAGGUGGUGAGCCAUU